rnacentral:lncRNA from 1 species
CAAUGAUUAACGUAAAUAUUACUUUGUAAACAGGUCCGAAGCCCCCUCUUCCAAGCUUGUUUGCUUCUGAAAAAUAAUCCGUAGCUGCUAGUAUGCUGUCUAAAUCAAAGAAAGGUACAUCUAUGCCCUUCUUAUCUUCUUCGUUGAACUCUUCUGCAUCCAUCAAGUUCUUGACCCGUUUCUCAGUGCCAUACAAAACAGCUGCAUUUCUUUCAGUAUUUUGCUGGCUUUCUGAAAUUUCAAGAAGACAACUGCUAAUUACUUGAGGAAUCCCUUAAAAAGUUCAAUACCACCUUACACGUGGAAAAUUUGUCUAGUUACCUCGUCGUUUGGCCUUCUUUCUCAUCAAAAUGCAGAUGUAAAGGAAGAUGCUUGAUAGAACUAUGACAGUAGCAAUUGCAACUCCUACAAUCAAAGACAAUGGUUUCUUUCCUCCUGCUUGUCCAUCGAAAACUUCAAGAAAGAAAGGGGGUAUGCGCAUUAUAAUAAAUUAAACUGGAUGAAACUUAUGGUUUUCACUACUUUUGCAGUUUGAGGCAAGAUAUAGAGUGCUCACCAUGAACGCAAUUUAGAGCAUUGCCAUCCCACCAAAAAUUUGAAUUGCAGAGGCAUCUCGCUGUGCCAUUUCCUUUUUUAUUGCAAGUUGAAUUUGACCAAUCGUCGCAGUCUGAAGACGAAGAGCAGACUGGCUCUUGAGGUGGCUCCCAACCAAUAACUAUUUCUACCAGACCUUGAGAUGAAACAUUGGAAUCACACCAGCGUUUAGAGGCGUUCAUCUUAAAUGGAAAUGACGUGUUGAACUUCCGAAUUUGACCUCUUGUACUGGCAUUACAAUCAUCUACAUCUUUCUCUUGGAUAACAAAUGUUCUUGUAUCUUGAUUGAUGGUAGUGACAUUAUAGGUGCUGUUGUGUGUCUUAAAGCUGAGUUUUCCUGUGGACUUAUCGCAGUAGAAACUGGAGUACAUGGGGUCACCACAAUCUGAUCCAUUACUUAGAGGAUAAGGAAUCACAUUUAUGCCACAAGGCUCACAACUUUUAGCCUUUGAUUCUGCAAAACAUGGAGCUUUUUUUAAGGUAUGAACAGUACUGAUAUUUAGUUCAGUUAUGAAUUAAGUCCACUGCUUGUGUGCAAUCUUCUAUCGAGAAAUUUCCUUGACGUAAUUACAGCAUCUUGUAGUAACAAAAGGAGAAAGAACAAGUCGAAAGAAGGAAGUACCUAUGUCAGCAAUAGGGACACGACAAAGAGAUCCAGCCCAUCAUAAGAAUAUUCCUCCUGGAGAUCUUUAAGAUCAUCCAUCCAGAUCGAGCAGUGUUGUUGCCAGGUUGUCUGUCCCUUCGCUAUUGACUUCCCUUCACAAAGGAAUAAGCUGGGCAUUGGCACUUAUCGAGACACUCCUCUCUGCAUUUCUUUUCAUCCUCAACCACAAAUGAAGUGUAUGCUGUCCAACUCUCAUCAUCUUCAAGCUCAAGAAGGUGUCAUUCUUCCCACAUCCGGCAGCGCUUCUGAUGCAACCACCAGAGAAACUCCCAUUCCUCCAAUUUUCCUGUGAUAGGCUCAAAUCCUGGCAAACCUGCAAGCCAACUAUUGUAUAGAUUGCAGCUGCCGAAGUUCCCACAGGCAUUAAGCACACUGCAUUUGUCUCUCGGCUCAAACCAUUGCAAAGACCAAUUUGUAUACACAUCGAAGUUCCAGUAUUGUAGCUCCCCUUUAACAUCCAACCUAAUCCUUGUUAUUAUAAUCUGAGGGUGAUCGAGUUGUGCUGCUUUUUGGAACAGAUCUGGUGAAGUUCGAUAGAAAAAUAUGCUAUUCCAUCAGGCAUUCUUUCUGAGCUAAAGAAAUCACUUGACUUCCACUACUGCCAUCGGAGAUAGCAAACUGGUCCGUUUCUUCAUCUAGCUGAAAUGUGAAGUUACCUUCUUGUGGAUCAACUUCACUUUUCCAUGACGUCAAAUUUAGAUCCCCACUCAUCUUCAUACCUGGAAGAAAUGUAUCAGUUGGAUGGUCAAAGCUUUGCCAUAGAAUAGUUGCCAAAAGGGUAUUACUAUCACACAAAACCAAGUUCCCAGAAUCUAAGAGCUUAGCCAACCCAUUCGCUGGUUUUGAUGUUGAUUCAAGCCCUGUAGACCAAAAAGGAUCUCCGUUUUUAUCCAAAAUCUUGAGGUUUCCAUCAUCUGUGACAGCCAAAACUGCUCCAUCAUCAAGAAGUGGGCGGUCUCGAUUGGCAACCCACACAACUAUUCGUGGAUUCGACCUGUAAUACCAAAUUCCUACGUAGCUUUUGUUUCGUUCAGGAGUAAAGAACCCCAGUUCAAACCUUUUUCCUGCUGAAACAAGAGUUUCUCCACCAUGUUAUAAAUUACCUGCUUAAGUGUGAUGGUAUCUCUAGCAAAGCAACAUAAAAGGGAGGAGCAUAAUAAGAAUGCAUAAGAAAAGAAAACGGUUGAUAGCAUGCUAUGCAUUGCACAUAGAUCUCUCUGGUUAAGACCUCUUCUUACCAUCAACCAUGAAUGUAUCACUCAAGUCAACUGCAAAGCAAAUUUUCACUGCACUUGUUCUGUGUUGACGCUGACCAUAAAGGAAGGGAGAUGAUGCUUUACUAAACUUAGAUUAAUUUAGAAUAGUUAAUCAUUUGAACACCACAACAUUUUCCUAGUCAUCGACAAAAAAUUAAUACAUUGUAACGUUGUAGUGUUUAUUUUGUAAAAUAUUUUUUAUUUAAAAAUAUAUUAAAAUAAUAUUUUUAUUAUUUUUAAAAAUUAUUUUUGAUAUUAAAAAUUAAUUUUAAAUAAAAAAAUUAUAAUUUAAUGAGAAACACAAUUUAAAACAAUUUUGUUAUCUCCGAUAGAGUUGCCGUAGUGGGGUGGUAAUGAAGAUAGCAACAGUGAUGAUAACAAUGUAUGUAGUGAUGAUGAUAAGAUUUUGAUGGUUAAGAUUAUUUGAUGAUUUUGUGUGUAAAUUAUUAUUUAAAAAAGUUUAAAAAAUAUUUUAUUUUGUUAAAUAUUUUUUUGAAAACAAAUUCCUUCUUAAACUACCCAUAAAUAAUUAAAUUGCUUGCUGCAGGCGUGUUCUUUUCUUUUACAAGUCUUGGCUCUCCUUUCCCACGCAAUUUUCUGUGGCAACAAGGGCCCGUCAAGGCAUUUUUCAACUAUAUGCAUUCAUGCUUUCAUGUCCACUCGUUCUGUAAGUAUAUCCCUCAUUUUGACAAAACCCACUAUUUCCAUCCUAUAUUUUUACCAACUUGUCAAAAGAGUCCCUCCAUUAUUAAUUUGGUCAAUUGAGCAUAUGUUUUUUCAAUUUCAGUCAAUUGAGUAAAAUUUUCCGAAAUUAAAGAUUUAUCUCUAUCAAUUGAGAAUUCUUCUUCACAACCUUAGUCAUUCUCAAGAACUUUUUUGUCAUUCUUGAAAUAUCAUCAUUCAUCUCAUCCUUCCUAUUGAGUAAAAGUUUUUUUUUCAAUUUAGAUCACUAAUACUCAAUUGAUUGAAAUGAAAAUUAUAGAUACUCAAUUAACCAAAUUGAUAGCAUGGGAGAUUUUUUUUUCUUAAUUGAUAAUGGAUUUAGCACUUUAGAUUGAUCGUUGUUAGUCAUCAAAAUUGACAAUAACCUUAUUACACUCGAUCUGGGAUUGACCUGAUGAAGGAAUGGAGUUGCAGGUUACAUGGGUCAACUCAAACAAAUUAAAAAAAAUUAAAAUUUUAAUAUUUUAUAUAUAUAAAAAAACAAUUCAUAUGAAUAUACACUAUAUAUGCUGUAAAUAAUAAAGUUUAAAAGAAUAUAUCAAAAAGUUUUUUAUCCCACAUUUUAAAAAAAAACAUAAUUUUUUUUUUGUGAACAUAAAAUAGAUAUAUUAAAGGGCUUCAAAUCUCACAUUGAAAAAAUAAUUUUUUUUCUUUGGAACAUAGAGUAUUAUACAAAAUACUAAAAGGGGUCAGUGCAUCUGUUACUGUGGAUUGAAGCAGUGUAAUGACAGACCAACCCUUGUCACAAAGAGUUGCAAGGGCAGCGGGGAGGGGUGGGGUUGUCUUUCUGCUGGGAUGCAUUUGGCAUUGAAAUGAUGGCUAGGAAGAAAAUGGUUAGCUCAAGUUUUGGUGUGGCUACAGGCCCUGGGAUGCGAACACCUGACGCUUGGGUUGCCCUACCUGUACGCUGGGUCAAACCCGCACGCCCACGUGGCGCUGAGGCUGGCUUGCCCUGUGUUCAAGGCUAAUGGGUCCUGCAUCAGAACCCAAUUUUCUUGGGUUCUUUGUCAGGACCCAAGCCUAUUGGGUCUUAGGUUUCUAAAUAUAAUUAUUUUCGUUAUAAAUAUUAUAAUUUUUAUUAUAGUUGAAAGUAUUAAUAUCAAACAUAUUAUAAUUUGUGUUCUAAAUAUUAUUAGUUUAAUUAUAAUAAAAAUAAUAAUAUUUAUACCCCAAAUAAUAGUAUUGUUGAUAUGAAUACUUUGAAUUAUACUAAAAAUCAUAAUAUUCAUAACACAAAUAAUACUAUUUUUAAUAUUAAUACUUUCAAUUAUAAUAAUAAAAAAUUUUGUAUAGCAAAUAAUAAUAUUUAUACCACAAACAAUACUAUUUUUAGAAUUAAUACGUUCAAUGAUAAUACAAAUACAAAUCUUUGUACCACAAAUAAUAAUAUUUUUUAUAUUAAUACUUUGAACUACAAUAAAAAUAAAUAUUAAUACUUUUAAUUAUAAUAAAAAUAAUAAUAUUUAUACCAAAAUAAUAAUAUUUAUACCAAAAUAAUAAUAUUUAUACCACAAAUAAUACUAUUUUGAAUAUUAAUACUUUCAAUGAUAUAAAAAUAAUAAUCUUUAUACCACAAAUAAUAAUAUUUUUGAUAUUCAUGCUUUGAACUAUAAUAGAAAUAUUAAUAUUUAUAACAUAGAUAAUAGUAUUUUUAAUAUUAAUACCUUCAAUUAUAAUAAAAAUAAUAAUAUUUAUGGCACAAAUAAUAAUAAUAAUAAUAAUAAUAAUUUUUAAUUUUAUCCUUCAAAUCAACUUUAUGAUUUUUUUUUGUGGUUAUUAUUAUUAUAUUAUAUAUAAAGCUAAAUCAUGUGGGAAAAGUCAUGUUUAUCAAGACUCAUUGCACUGUGAAUUGCACAUUUGGUAGGGGCAUGGUGUGUUGCAGCCCCAGACAUAGACACUUGGCGCAAGGGCAUUCAUACCUAGCCACAAAGAUUUCCAAAGAUGCAGAGGGAGAGGUUGCGCUUCAAGUUUCGGACACCUGGCGCUGGGGGCAAACCCGUGAGCUUGGCUUUCCACCCAUGUAAAACCUCUGGGUGAAAAAUUAUAAAUUGACUAGUUUCAUGUAAAACAAAAGAAAAAAUUUGUAACUCUCGAUCGGGUUAUUGGAAAAUUCUGAAAAUUUGCGUGGAGCCUUCUGAUAUGAUAUCUUAGCUUGGGUUAAAAUUUUAGAAGUUUUAGAGAAAUUCAGAAAAUUUGACAAAAAAUCACAAUUUGACUAGUUUUACGUUAUUUGAUGUAAUAUAUUUGUUUUAUAUGUAAUUUGUAUUAUACGUAGAUUGUAGUGUAUGUAUAAUGAAGAUGUUUGCUUUUGGUAUUUAUAUAUUUAAAAAGUAUGAGUAAGGAACUACUAUUAUUAAACUAUUCGAAAAUAAUAUUUUAAGUUUAUAAUUGUUUGUAGUUAAUGUUUUAUUUGUAGAUGAUGUAAGGUUGAGAAAAAUACAAUGAAGUAUAGUUAUGUGGAAUAUUGUAUGACAAGAUGGGAUUUGAUCCAGGAUGGUUGGAUCAAAGUGAAAGUUUUGAGUAUUGUAAUUGAAUGAAGUAUAGUCGAUAACUUGGUAACAUGAGAAAACAAAGGACACUCCGUUGAAAUUUUCAAAAAAAAAAAAAAUCUUAUAAUCUUAGACAUAUUAUUCAAUACUCGAUAUUAGUAAAGAAAUGUUUAAGAUUUCAUGAAAUAAUAAUUUGAGGGUGUUACAACCCAAGUCAGCGGUUCUGCUAACCUGUGUGUUGGGUCUGGACAUGGACCCCCUUCUGUUGGGUCAAGCAUCUUGACCUAAAUCACUUGGGUUUGGACAUGGAUCCAACCCCCUUAGAUCCAAACAUGACCCAAUCCCCAACCCUCUACGGUCUGGACGUGGAAGGACCCAAACUCCUUGGGUCCGGACCUAGUAGAACCUAAACCCCAACCUCUUGGGUCCGAACACGGCCCCAUCCCCAACCCCUUUGGGUCUGGACAAGGACCCAUCCCCCAACCUCCUUCAGUCCCCACCCCACUUAACCCCCAACCCCUCUGGGUCCGGACACGGACCCAACCCCCAACCCCCAUGGGGUCUGGACAUAGAAGGACUCAAACCCCAAACCCCUAGGUUCGAACAUCGAAGGAUCCAAACCCCAACCCCCUAGGUCCGGACACAGCCCAAUUCCCAACUCUUUGGUUCCGGCUACGAACCCAAACCCUAAGUCCUUUGGGUCUGGACAUAGACCCAUCCCCUAACCCCUUUGGGUCCUCACCCCGCCAAACCCCCAACCCCCUUGGGUCUGAACACGACCCAAUCCCCAACUCUCUUAGGUCCGGUCACGAACCCAACCUCCUUCAGUCCUCACACCCCGCCUAACCCUUAUUCCCCAACCCCUUUGAGUUCGAGCACGAACCUAACUCCUCUUGAAUUCGGACAUGGAAGGAUCUAAAUCCCUUGGGUUCGGACACCAAAGAACCCAAACCCCAACCCCAUGAGUCCGGACACGGACCGAACCCCCUUGGUAUUGUUCCACCAAUAUAACAACGUUAUCUUUUUACAAUUUAUAAAGACAAUAACAUGCACAUUUUUUGUUGUGCAGAAUUUCAAGGCAUAAGCCAACAUGUAUGUUGAUAUAGCUGCCGAAAAAGCUACAUCUUAUUACUUAUUUUUGUAUUAAAAAACAUUUAAAAGCUCUUGUUCAUUUCCAUCUGUUUAAUCAUAAAGCUUUUGUAUUAAUGUUUUUAUUGUUUGGUUUGUUGGUGUACUACAACAACAUAUAUUACUACUUUAUAUAUUGUGUCUUCUAGCUAUGUCAAACCUUGCAUCAUGCAGUAAAAAUAUUAAAUCUUAUUUUGGAAUUAACAAAAUCUAUUACAUGCUUCAAUCUUAGAAUAUGUUUUUUUUUUCACGUCUAUUUUUAACCGUUUGGUUAGGGGCUUUUAUUUUUUCCUUUAAAAAAAAUAAACAAGGUGCUAAGACUUUGUUACUAUUAGAAAAAAAAAACAUGAAUUUGAUUGUAACCAUAAAAUUAAAAACUAUAAAAACUUAGAAAAUAAAUAAAUUUGAACCCAUGCUAUUUUAAACACAAAUAUUUUUAUAAUACCAUUUUAAAAAAUAUAUUAUUUUUUGUCUUUUAAAAUAUUUAUAACAUAAAUAAUAUUAUUUUUAAUAUUAAUACCUUCAAUUAUAAUAAUAAUAAUACUUUUAAUUUUAUCCUUCAAAUCAACUAUAUGAUUUUUCUUUGGUUAUAAUAAUAUUUUAUUUCAAAUUUAUUAAUGACAAUAAUGAUAAUAAGAACAACAAUUUAUACUUUUACCCUUCAAAUAGAUAUUGCGUCAGGAUCCAAUGUUAAUAAGCCUUUGUUAGUAUCCAAUUCGCUUGGAUUCUGCACCAGGAUCCAAUGGUAAUGGGUCCUGCACAUCCAAUGUUAAUAAGCCUUUGUUAGUAUCCAAUUCGCUUGGAUUCUGCACCAGGAUCCAAUGGUAAUGGGUCCUGCACAGGACCCAAGAAUGGAUCCUCGCCAGGAUCCAGAUAAUUUGUGUUAUAAAUAUUCUUUGUUUUUUUUAAUAUAAUAAUUUGUGAUAUAAAUAUUAUUAUUUGUCUUAUAAUUCAAAGUGUUCAUAUCAAAAAUAUUAUUAUUUAUGUUAUAAAUAUUAUUAUUUUUAUUAUAACUCAAAGUAUUGAUAUAAAAAAUAUUAUAUGUCCAUUCCAUCUUUUCUAAUUGGUCCAUGCACAUACAGAUACAGUAGGAAGUUGUUUUAAUGUUUUAAAAAAGUAAAUAAAUUGGGUUUUAACUUAAUCACCUAGGUUUUAUCUAAUUAAUUCCCACAUUAUUUUUUUAAACCUAACCUGCGCUGAGCCGAGUUUAACAACAUUAUCACUAACUAGUUGUAAGCAAAUGGAGGAGUGAUUAUUAAGAAUAUGCCUGGCAAGCAAAUUUGCUAAGGCACUUGUUCAUACAGUCAUUUUCAUCUGAGUAGCCAGGUUCAGCAUCAGGCUUUCCUGCUUUCAUCGAUUUUAACUCCAAGAAGUUCUGAACCACAUCGUUGCAGCACAAAGGUGACAUUCUUUCACACCCCUCUGAAAAGUUUCCUAAUUUCCAAUUAUCGGGAGACUUAGACUAUUGCAACUACCAGAAGUCCCACAAGCAUCAAAUACACUGCAUCGAUCACUUGGUUCCCGCCAGUUCAAAGUCCAAUUCGCGUUUCUCCAGAGGAAAAACUGUAUCUGCCCAUUGAACACCAGUCUUGUAUUCUUAUAAUUCACAGCUGUUGAAUUUAUUCUAUUAUAAGGACUUUCCUCUGUAGUUGUUGUGUUCCCAAGAGGUCUGCUUGGUUUCCUGCUGGAAUUCAUGAGCAAGUUAGAAACAAGCCAGAGCCUUUCGUCGGAUCUUACAAAACUUCCUGAAACUCCACUUUUCCAGUACGGAAUCGAUCCGUUCUUCAUGAUGAUGUACUGGUUUUCUCUUUCAUCAAGCUGAAAUUUGAAGUCUCCUGGUGCUGGGUCACUGGGACUCUUCCAAGAAGUCAACAUAAAGUUCUUGUUUGUCUUCAUUCCAGGAAGAAAUGUGUCAGUUGGAUAAUCGAAGCUUUGCCACAAUAUUGCUGAACCAUUUGCAGCUUCUUGGAUCAAGACUAAAUUCCCGGAAUCCAUGAGCUUCAACCUCCGAGUGAAAGAAAAUGAAGAUGAUGUAGUUUCGUUUGUUUUUAUUCUUAUCAAAAAUAAUAAUCUAUGUCCGUUGAAAAGUCAUUUUCUGAAAACAUUUUUAUUAUUAGAAAAGUUUAUUAAUAAAAUAUUUAGUUUAGUUUCCAGAAAAGUAUAUAUUAUUUUUAUUUGAGGUGAAACAUAUUUUUAGAAGUUACAAAAUAUUCAAAAAUAUCUUAUUAUCUAUUUAUUAUAUUAAAUUUAAUAAUCAAUUUAGCACUUUUAAAUUUAAUUUUAUUUUUAUAUAAACUUUGGUCUUAUAUUUUUAUUGUUAUUUGUUUUUCUUUUAUUUUUCAAAUUAUUUUCUAUAACACUACUAAACAUCAGAAAAACUUAUAUUUUCUAGAAAAUCACUUUUUUUUAAAAAAACUAUUUUCUAACAAACAAACUAAUAUGAUUUUUCUAGUAAAAUAACAAGUUCCAAUUCUACUUCAAUGAUAAUCUGGUGAGAUGGAAAAUUAGAAGAUCUUUAAAAUAGAAAAGAGAAAGAGCUCAUCUUGAAAUGCCUAAAUAGCUGUAUAUUUGUGUUGUUUAUGAUGUGAUAAUGCUCCAUCACAAAAAAAAAAAAAAAAACAAACAAACAAAAACAAAACUAAAAAAAUAUCUAGUUGAAUUAUUGCAAAAUUUACUUAGCAAUUAUAAGAGCCCAACAAUGAUAAUGAUGUUCAGGAGACUUUUUUACUAUUAUAAGUCCUCAAUAUCAUAUUUUCAUAUUCUGUAUUUUUUCAAUUUGUACUCAGAUUAGUACGCCCUAGAUUUAUGGAAUUGUAGGCAGGAUCAUUUUUUUUUUUUUGUCAAAAUAUUAUAUUGAGAUGUCAUAUGCGUGUUCUAAGGAAGAAAAAAAAAUCAUCCAUCAUCAGAGAAUGUUACUGCCCAACCUUGUAUUACCAGCACCAUUGUUACAUAGCUAACUGACUAGUUCUUGCUACCCUUUCAGGGGUCCAAGCAACAGCAGAGAGCUAAUUUAUCACAAAUAAGUAUACUUCUAACUAAUCAACGCGUUUUUAGCUAAUUUUAUCACUUCAUGUUUGUUCCUUUUCACUAGAAUAUUCUCCUGGUGGUGUUUUCCAAUUAGACAGGGACGUUACCAGUUGCCUGAACAGCAAGUUUCAUGAUGCACAGUGUCAAUGUCAGGUCUGAACUAAUGGCUGAAAUGCAAAUGGACUAAUGUUAGUACAAGAAGAUAUCUAGCCGAGAACGUUAAUGCUAGAAACUGGAGGCACCACAGAAACCACCUAGUUCUAUUAGGUUUUGGCGUGUCUGAGGAAAAGAGGGAUACAAUUCAGUAAUCUGAAAAGCAAAGAUUACCAGAUGAAGUCAUGGUCUUCUAUUUUUGUCUAUUUCACCUUUUAUUAUUGGCCCAUGAAACUGGUAUGUAGUUUCGUUUGUUUUUAUUCUUAUCAGAAAUAAUAAUCUAGGUUCGUUUAAUGAAAAUUUAUUUUCUGAAAAUUAUUUUCUAAAUUUUUUCAUGUUUCUUAUUAGAAAAGUUUAUUAAUAAAAAUUAAUUUUUCAUUAAUAAAAAAUUUAGUUUGGUUUUUAGAAAGUAUUUUAGUUUUAUUUUAGGUGGAAUACACUUUUUAGAAGUUACAAAAUAUUCAAAAAUAUCCUAUUAUCUAUUUAUUAUAUCAAAUUUGAUCAUCAAUUUAGCUCUUUAAAAUUUAAUUUGAUUUUUAUUUCAACUUUGACCUUAUUCUUCUUAUUGUUAUUUGUUUGUUUUUUAUCCAUUAGAUUUGAUCCUUGUUUUUUUUCUUUCUAUUUAUUUUAUUUGAAAUAAUCUUUUUCAUUUUUUUUUUAAUUUCAUCAUUUAUCAAUUUUUUAUUUGUCAUAUUUAGUUUCUAUUAUUUUAAUUGUUAUUUAUUUUAUUUAAAACAAUUUAUAAAAUUUGAAUAUUUUUUCAAUUUCAUCAUCUUUCAACCUUUUCAUUUGUUAAAUUUAGUUUCUAUUCUUUCAGUAAACUUGAAAAAAAUUAAACAUUAAUAAAUUAUUUUUCCUUUUAUUUUUCAUAGUAUAGUCAAACACUAGAAAGUGUUUUCCAACUUAUUUUCUAUAUUUGGUUAGAUGGAAAAAUAGAAGAUCUUUAAAAUGGAAAAGAGAAAGAGCUCAUCUUAAAAUGCCUAAAUAGAUGUAUAUUUGUGUUGUUUAUGAUGUGAUAAUAUUCUCCAUCACAAAAAAAAGUUGUGGCAUCCAAAAAACACUAAAAAAAUAUCUUGUAUAAAACAAGAGCCCAACAAUGAUAAUGAUGUUCAGGAGACUUUUUAACUAUAAAAAAUAAGUUAGAGGAUAACUAGUAAUUUUUUAUUGAAUGGUGAAAUAAAAAAAAAUCAAUAUAAGAAAAAAAUCAAAAAAAUAAGGAUCAAGUUGAAAAAAAUAAAAUAUCACAAAUUUGGAUUCAGUAGUGAAAUUAAAAACAAAUUAAAAUUUUACAAAAUGGCCAAGAACAUAAAUUAAAAAUCAAAACAAUAAAAAUCAAAGUUAAAAUUUCAAUAAACAAGAAGGCAAUUCUGAAAUUUUAAAUGGCUAGUUUGAAUUUCGAGUGGAAAAGAAAAGAAAACAUCAUCGGCAAUAAAUCAUCCCACCCCUGCUAUGAAACACCAUAAAUUUCCCUCUACAUUGUAAGAUCUUCGUAUCAAGGCGAUAAAAAAAACUACCAAGUCAAAUACUAAAUUAAGCAAAUUUGAAUGGAUCAAAUUGAAAAAAAUAAAAAUAAAUUGAGGGAUACAAGAAAAGGGAUGAACCUUCCCUUCUCCAUACAUUUUGUCCUUAAUUUUUAGGUUGUUCAAAUUUGGUCUCCAUUUCUGUAAACCAAGUGUCAAAUGAGCAAUGAUUUUUUUUUAUUCACACCGUGAGAUCCCCUAGCCAAGGUAGACAAAGUAUAUCACAAAGUUUGCUCCCAAAAAUAAUAAAAUUGAAAAACAAAUUAAAGAAAAAAAAAACUAAAGGACUAAGAGAAAAAAAAUUAAAGGACUAAGAAAAAAAAAACUCUAUUACAAUUCAUAGUGUUUUCUCUAUAAAAUUGAAAUAAUAUUAUUUUAUCCUUAAACAUGACUAUUACAAUGACACGAAUGCAUGUCACUUUGAUAUUAUUUACCCCGCAACUUGAGUCAAAAUCCAUUUCUUGCUGCUUUGCCUUGUCUUCAAGGGAAGUACUGACGGUGAGAGGAUAAGUCAUUUGUGUGUGUGAGCCUUGAGGAUAAGUCAUUUGCCUUGUCUCCAAGGAAAGUACUGCUAACAAUUAAGCUUGUGUGCCUCAGCAUUACACAAAUUCAUUUGAAAACUGUCCCCAUAAUCAACUGCCAUGAUUAAGGAGAAAUCUGGGUUUUUUGCCAAAUGCAUGAUCCACAUAGUGCCGAAUAGCAUCAUAUAGUAUGAAUGAAUAAAGAAAACAACACAGGAAAUGUCCAACAAACUGACUCAACAUUCACAAUGCCAAACAAAAGGCCACGGAAUUGAAUUAAAUUUGCACUCCUACAAGUUAGAAAAUUCACGAUGCCAAGAGGAGGUAAGUGAUCUCGUGAACCUAAUAUCUCCGAGUGGAGUUAUUACAAGAACAGUCUCCUGUCCUCAAAUUAAGAUAUUCGUUAAGAAUUAUUGAUUUCACAUGGCCGGUUACAAAGAUACUGCUAAAUAUCACUAAAAAUAUAUAUGUUUUUAGAAAUUUAUUUUUCAUGAUAACUACUUCUCAAGAAAAAAAUAUUUUCUAGAAACAAACAAGAUUUGCCUAGUAAAAUAACAAGUUCCAAUUCUACUUCAAUGAUAUAUUUGGUGAGGAAAAUUAGAAGAUCUUUGAAAUGAAAAAAGAGAAAGAGCUCAUCUUAAAAUGCCUAAAUACCUGUAUAUUUGUGUUGUUUAUGAUGUGAUAAUGAUAUUCUCCAUCACAAACAAAACCAAAAAAACUAAAAAAAUAUCUAGUUGGAUUAUUGCAAAAUUUACUUAGCAAUUAUAAGAGCCCGACAAUGAUAAUGACGUUCAGGAGAUUUUUUUACUAUAUAAAGAGAUUUUUUUUUAGUUUGAGACAUAUUUUUAUCUUCUGUAUUUUUUUAAUUUGUACUUAAAUUAGUACACACUAGAUUUAUGGAAUUGUAUGCAGUAUCGAUUCUUUUUUUUUUUGUAAAAAUAUGAUAUUGAGGUGUCAUAAACGUGUUCUAAAGAAGAAGAAAAAAUCCACAAUUAGGUCAAAUAAAUUACUUUUUUAUUUUAAUUAUAUGAUAAAAAAUAAUAAUAAACAGUGACACCAAAUAAACUAAAUAAACAAAUUGAUUAUGAUAACUUGAAAAAAAUAACUAUAUUUUUUUAAAUAAUAUAAUUCAAUUCUCAGUCCAAUAAAAUAUAGAAUAAUAAAAUUGAAUUAAAAAUGUAAAAAUAAACCAACCCGAGUCACCUUGAGUUAGCAUAAUCAAUUGAAUUACCAAAAAAAACUAUUAAGUCAAAUACUAAAUUAAGCAAAUUGGAAUAGAUUAAAUUAAAAAAAUAAAUAAAUUAUGGGAUAAAAGAAAAGGGAUGAACCAUACAUUUUAGUCCCUAAUUUUUAGAUUGUUUAAAUUGGUCUCCAUAGCUUUAAUUGCUUUCAAUCAAUAAAACUUUAUUUAAUUUCGGUAAACCAAGCGUCAUCUAAGCAAUGAUUUUCUUUAUUAAUACCCUGAGAUCCCCUAGCCAAGACAGACAAAUAUACCACAAAGUUUAAUCCCAAAAAUAAUAAAAUUAAAAAAAGAAUUAAAGAACCAAAAAAAAAACUGAAGGACUAAGAAAAAAACUCUGUUACAAUUCGUAGUGUUUUCACUAUAGGUGAACAUGACUUUUGCCGGUAAGCCCACCAAGCCCCUGUUCAAAAAACUACAGAGCAUCUCCUUAAUCAUGUCUGGAUCAGACAUGGCCAACAACCUGGGCUCGACUCCCAACCGGUGGAGAAAUGUCUUCCUGCUCUUCCUUGACCAUUGAUAGACGUUGGCUUCGACAAAUUGAUAUUAGGCUGAUAUCCUUGGACCUUCCGAAGAUUGGAUUGUAGGCAAGGCCAGUAUCUGUGCCUUUUUUUAAAUGGUUUUGGAUUCUCCAUGGAACCCUUAAAACUGAGUGUAGGAAUUUCAAAAUGCAGAGUCUAAGGAAGAUCACAAAGAGAAGAAAAAAACAAGGUGAAAGAAGGAUCGUGCAGUGGGCUUGAUUUGUCAGAAGAGAUUGUUUUUACCAUGAUUUAAGUAAUGUGCAGCUGCAAUGAUUGGUGAAUUAUGAGGGGUGGUUGAAAAUUAUAUGAUGCUUUGUCUCCUUAAAGAGAUAUUGGGGAUUAUCUGGUGAUAAACUGUUGUAACCCAUUUUUGGGUCCCCAUAUAAAAAAUAAUAAAAUACAAAAAAAUCAAAAAAAUAUAUUAUAAAAAAAAUAUAACAGUGAAAAAAAUGUCAGAGCGCCCUAAAAAUGCUCAAAAAUUGAUAGAGGAUGCUCAAAAAUAUAAAAAAUAUUUUUGACAGGAUAUCAUUGACUGAUGAGAGCCCCGAUGAUAAAGAAAAUUCAAUUUGUAGAAGAAAAAUGCAAAAUCAGAAGUUUAUGGACUCAAUUAAAUUUUAUUAAAGGUUUAAUUGCAUUUAUGAAGAUUUUAAUUGCAAGAAAAAUUGAUUUUGGAGUUAAUUUGGGCUUUAAUUAGGAGAAAUUAAUUUUCUAGGGUCAAAUUAUAAUUUUUGGAAGUUAAUUUGGUCAAAUUAGGGGCUUAAUUGCAUAAAUAUUGAAGUUUAAUGGCUAAUUAGGGACUUAAUUGAAGAAAUCCGAGACCAAGGACUAAAUUGUAAAACGCGCGCAAAUGUUAGGGCCGAAAUUUGAAUCUGAUGCUUUUGGCGCCUUUUCCUUUUAAAUGAAACGGCGCGUUUUGACCAAAACGACGCCGUUUCAUUCACUGUUGCAAAAAAAAAAAAUACAGAAGCCCAAAACGGUGUCGUUUUGACGGCACUGUAGCUCUUCUUCUUCCCCUGGACACCCGAGGCAGGGGAAGAAGAAGAUUUAUUCUUCCCCUUUUCGCCUAAUUUCUUUCCUUUUUUUGCUCAAAAAGACGCCGAAACAAGGACACCACUUGCCGACCACUUUCCACGUGUUGGACGGGCGGCAGCACACCGGCCACCACCAUGACGUCCCCCCCCCCAUGUUUUUCGCCUAUAAAAACAGGGGAGGAAGAGGAAAAAAAAAAAAAAGACAGAAGGGAGACGAACUGAGAUAGAAGAGAAGAGAAUAGAGAGGGCAGAGAAGAAGAAGAAGAAGAAGAAGAAGCAGGGAAGAAAAGAAGAAAAACAGAAGAAGAGAGAGAACCACCGCCAGCCUCCGCCACCAUCGCCUCCGUGCCUACGCCGCCAGCAGCACCGCCACGACGCACCGCAGGUAAUCUCUCGCCGCCCUGUCGCCUUCUCCUUUGCUGCCUCCCCGUUUGCAUGCAGAACGUGAAUUAAUUCACGUUCUGCAGCUGAAGAGUGGUUACUGUGCUUAGCACAGUAACCAGCCCAUUUGGUAAUGGGCCGGGUUGGCCCAGCCCACUGAAUGGGCCGGACCCGGCCCAUUUCAUUUUUUUUUUUAAUUUUUUACAAUUUUUCCAGCACUUGUUUUUAUCAAUUUUUGCUUAAUAUCGGUCUGUAUUUUACAUCGUAAAAAUAUAAAUUCGGUAUUAAAAUACCCGGUUUUCGUCCCACAGUACUGUUCACACAUGCAUAAAAAAAAAUCAAAAAUAUUUGUUUCAGCAUUUUAUAAUUUUUCCGUAGUUUUUAUGUCAUUUUGAUUAAUAUCGGGCAGUAUUUUUAUAAAAAAUCCGGUAUUAAAAUACCCGGUUUUUCGGCAAAAACUUCCAAAAAUAAAAAAAAAAAUUAAAAAAAAAGAAAAAAAAUGUUUUUGUGCAUACGGCCAAGUGUCUCAAAUCUAAAAAAUCAUAUCGUAUUUUUCAUAUGUCAAAAAAAAUAUUUUAGCAUGCAUUUUGGCUUUAAUAACCAGUUUAUUAAAGUCAAGAGAACAUUGGCCAAAAUCUCAAAAACAACAAAAAAUUUUAUUUUGUUUGAUUUUAGUAUCAGGGAUUAUGAAUUUAUACGUAAAUCGUAUUCCUGAUAUUAAAAAGAUAUUUUCUUUUGACGACUUCGAAUAGUUAGUUUUUUUUACCCGAUAAAGAUAAGGAUCUCCUUACAGAGGAGGACUUUUCUUAAACCGUAAACGAACCAACAAUUCAAAAAAACCACAACACGAUUUUAGAUUUUAUCAGACAUUAAAACAAUGCAGCCUACCUUAGGUAGGGCGUAGUUGGGGUGCUAAUACCUUCCCUUUACGCAACCAGUCUCCGUACCCGAUCUCUAAAGACCAGUUAAGGUUCCUAGUAACCAGAAUAUUAGGUGGCGACUCCCAUUCCAAUUUUUUUCACUUGUAGAGACAAGAAUUCCUUGUCUCUCCCCAUUUGUCAGGAAUAAAUAUUCCGAUUUUUCCUUGAGGGUGGACGAUCGCCGCGCCGCCGCACACGUGCGACAAAAACCAUGGGCACCCUGUAUGGAUUAUGAUGCUCAAAAAGGGUUAAUGUCGCCUAAGAAGAAAUACUACUGUGUGGAAUCUGAUCAAGCGACUUGACACAGCCGUUGAAAGUUUUCAAAGUUUGCUAAGACUCUAAAUUUAAACGAACUGAUAAUAACACGUAGAACACUUGAAAGAAAAAUUGUUUACGGGGCAUUACACAGAUACAAUAAUGAAGUUCUAAGAGGGUUUUGAUUACAAUUUCAGAACAGAAGGACUAAUUAGACAUGAAUUCUGUCAUGGAAAAACAUGAGAUUUCACCAGGAAAAAAAAACCUUUCCAUUCGAAGAUUGAGAAACUUUCCAAGAUUUUAUGCAAAUUGAUAGGAAAUUAUCUACCUUCGUCUGAAGCAAUCGUUGUAUCGAUGCUUAUUUCUUGUUUACUUGAAGAUGAAUCUGUGCCAGAAAGGCCUGUUCCUUGUUUACUUGAACAAGAAGCUGCGCCAGAAAGGCCUCUUCGUAUAAAAAAGGCUGGGUUCUUAGGAACCGGCAAGUUUGCAGUUUCACUGCUAAGCAUCACAACAACAUUGGACAUGGUCGGACGGUCGGAUGGAUCAUCUUGUACGCAUAAGAGUGCAACAUUUACACACCUCAGAAACUCAUUGGUGUUGCAAAUCUCACGUAAUGUCUCGUCCAUUAAAUCCAAUGCCUUGUCUUCUCUCCAUAAUCUCCAAGCCUGGAAUUUUGAAGUUUAAGUCAGCAUCGCUUAUCAAAUGACAAAACAUUAUAUUAGCACGGUUGAACUUACAUAAGCUAGAAGGCUUUGGGCUUCAUCAGAAUUAAAAUAUCCUGUGUUCCUUUUCCCACUAAGAAUCUCAAGUACAACUACGCCGAAACUAAAAACAUCAGAUUUGACAGAAAAUAGGCCAUCUAAUGCGUACUCUGGCGACAUGUAGCCACUGCAUUACAACAAUUUUCACAAGAAUCAGUAACUCGGCUGGAUUCAGACUCCUAAUUCAGCAUUAAACAAUACAUGAUUGAAGGAUUGGAGACUGCAAAAAUAGUGUUUGCAUAUGAAUGUAUGUCUGAUGAAUAUCAAUGUUGAUAGGAUCUGAAACUUACUAAGUUCCAACAACACUGUUUGUGCUCCCCUCGGUUUGUUUGCCUUCGAACAUCCUUGCCAAUCCAAAGUCAGAAAUUUUGGGAUUCAUUUCCGCAUCUAAUAAAAUGUUGCUCGUUUUCAUAUCACGAUGAAUAAUCCUGAGUCUAGAAUCUUGGUGGAGAUAAAGAAGACCUCUAGCAACUCCUAAAAUGAUAUCAAAGCGCGUCUCCCAAUUCAGUAACAUUCCCAGAUCUCGAUCUUCAGCGGUUUUCCAUUUCCAUAAGUACAAAAAUUAGCAACCAUGAUUGCUGCAAACGUACAUUUAUAAACCAAAAAUGAUGAAUCUGUUUAGAGACUAACCAAAUAUGAAGGAAUCUAAGCUUUUGUUAGGCAUAUAUUCAUAGAGUAAAAUCUUUUCAUCUCCUUUUAUGCAAUAGCCUACUAGUCUGACAAGAUUCCGAUGCUGCAAUCUAGCAAUCAAAAUCACCUCAUUCUUAAACUCCUCUAGGCCUUGUCCUGAAACACUAGAGAGUCGUUUUAUUGCAAUUUCUUGACCUCCUGGAAAUUUUCCCUGAAACCAAAGUUGCGAUGCAGGUAAAAUUCAGCCAGAAAACUUGUCAGACACAAAAAUUCCAAUGAUUAACGUAAAUAUUACUUUGUAAACAGGUCCGAAGCCCCCUCUUCCAAGCUUGUUUGCUUCCGAAAAAUAAUCCGUAGCAGCUAGUAUGCUGUCUAAAUCAAAGAAAGGUACAUCUAUGCCCUUCUUAUCUUCUUCGUUGAACUCUUCUGCAUCUAUCAAGUUCUUGACCCGUUUCUCAGUGCCAUACAAAACAGCUGCAUUUCUUUCAGUAUUUUGCUGGCUUUCUG